UCAAAGGAAAAGACUUCUGAAUCAAGUUCCAAGUCAGAGUUUGAGCGUUUCAUUUUGUGUAGCCUUCUAAAGUUGGUAUGAGCAGAUGAUGAAGACUUACUUCCUGAGGCUUUCAAUCUGUUGGGGCACCAGAGUGCUCUCUUCUCCAGUGGCUACCAGGUGUCUGGAGAUCAGCCUGUCUGGCUCAUGUAAAAGUCAAGGGCUGGGGAUGAUGCUGAGACAAUACACAGAAGGGACUGCACCCAUGGAGGAGCAAAGUAUUUUGGAAAACUAAAAGGAUGACAUGUAACUGAGAAGAUGCCAAAAUUUGAACAUUUCCACCUUGACUCUGACCUAAAACUCUAUUAAAUAUAACAAGACACUUCUUCCUCCC